GAUGAACGCUGGCGGCGUGCUUAACACAUGCCAGUCGAACGGAAAGGCCCAAGCUUGCUUGGGUACUCGAGUGGCGAACGGGAGAGUAACACGUGGGUGAUCUGCCCUGCACUUCGGGAUAAGCCUGGGAAACUGGGUCUAAUACCGGAUAGGACGAUGGUUUGGAUGCCAUUGUGGAAAGUUUUUUCGGUGUGGGAUGAGCUCGCGGCCUAUCAGCUUGUUGGUGGGGUAAUGGCCUACCAAGGCGUCGACGGGUAGCCGGCCUGAGAGGGUGUACGGCCACAUUGGGACUGAGAUACGGCCCAGACUCCUACGGGAGGCAGCAGUGGGGAAUAUUGCACAAUGGGCGCAGGCCUGAUGCAGCGACGCCGCGUGGGGGAUGACGGCCUUCGGGUUGUAAACUCCUUUCGCUAGGGACGAAGCGUUUUUGUGACGGUACCUGGAGAAGAAGCACCGGCUAACUACGUG
rnacentral:rRNA from 1 species